GAGUUUGAUCCUGGCUCAGGACGAACGCUGGCGGCGUGCCUAAUACAUGCAAGUAGAACGCUGAAGACUUUAGCUUGCUAAAGUUGGAAGAGUUGCGAACGGGUGAGUAACGCGUAGGUAACCUGCCUACUAGCGGGGGAUAACUAUUGGAAACGAUAGCUAAUACCGCAUAACAGCAUUUAACCCAUGUUAGAUGCUUGAAAGGAGCAAUUGCUUCACUAGUAGAUGGACCUGCGUUGUAUUAGCUAGUUGGUGAGGUAACGGCUCACCAAGGCGACGAUACAUAGCCGACCUGAGAGGGUGAUCGGCCACACUGGGACUGAGACACGGCCCAGACUCCUACGGGAGGCAGCAGUAGGGAAUCUUCGGCAAUGGGGGCAACCCUGACCGAGCAACGCCGCGUGAGUGAAGAAGGUUUUCGGAUCGUAAAGCUCUGUUGUAAGAGAAGAACGUGUGUGAGAGUGGAAAGUUCACACAGUGACGGUAACUUACCAGAAAGGGACGGCUAACUACGUGCCAGCAGCCGCGGUAAUACGUAGGUCCCGAGCGUUGUCCGGAUUUAUUGGGCGUAAAGCGAGCGCAGGCGGUUUAAUAAGUCUGAAGUUAAAGGCAGUGGCUUAACCAUUGUUCGCUUUGGAAACUGUUAGACUUGAGUGCAGA
rnacentral:rRNA from 1 species